UAAACACCAUAACAGGAAAUCCGGCGCUUCUUGAACACUGCAUGAGGCGGUUCCAUGAUGACGUGGGCUCAGGCCGCAGAAGCGGAAGUAAACGUGUAGCUGCUGCUCGGGUCUCAGUCGUGGUUCUAGUCUGAGUCCAAACUCAACUCUCACAAUAAAUCAUGGUGACGGACGUACAACUCGCCAUUUUUGCCAACAUGCUGGGGGUCUCGCUGUUCCUUUUGGUGGUGCUUUAUCACUAUGUGGCUGUCAACAACCCAAAGAAGCUGGAAUGAUGGUAAAAUCAUCAUGAAUUAGAAGGUGAAUGACAUGACCAAGGACCACCGAACGGAACAGACGACGAUUCAGCCUGUAGGAUUGUUCUUUUGUAUGAAAAUGUUAAUAAAUAUGUAAAUGAUAAA